rnacentral:tRNA from 1 species
GCCCCUGUAGUUUAAUGGAUAAAACGCCUCCCUCCGGAGGAGGAAAGUACAGGUUCGACUCCUGUCAGGGGCA